CGCGGCCUAUCAGCUUGUUGGUGAGGUAACGGCCCACCAAGGCGACGACGGGUAGCCGGCCUGAGAGGGUGACCGGCCACACUGGGACUGAGACACGGCCCAGACUCCUACGGGAGGCAGCAGUGGGGAAUAUUGCACAAUGGGCGCAAGCCUGAUGCAGCAACGCCGCGUGAGGGACGACGGCCUUCGGGUUGUAAACCUCUUUUAGUAGGGAAGAAGCGAAGGUGACGGUACCUGCAGAAAAAGCACCGGCUAACUACGUGCCAGCAGCCGCGGUAAUACAUAGGGUGCAAGCGUUGUCCGGAAUUAUUGGGCGUAAAGAGCUCGUAGGUGGUCGAUCACGUCGGAUGUGAAAUUCUGAGGCUUAACCUCGGACCUGCAUUCGAUACGGGUUGACUAGAGUGUGGUAGGGGAGACUGGAAUUCCUGGUGUAGCGGUGGAAUGCGCAGAUAUCAGGAGGAACACCGAUGGCGAAGGCAGGUCCCUGGGCCAUUACUGACACUGAGGAGCGAAAGCGUGGGGAGCGAACAGGAUUAGAUACCCUGGUAGUCCACGCCGUAAACGGUGGGCGCUAGUUGUGGGAACCUUCCACGGUUUCUGCGACGCAGCUAACGCAUUAAGCGCCCCGCCUGGGGAGUACGG
rnacentral:rRNA from 1 species